GACUUUACCAUCUGGCGUCUGUUAAUGUCCAGACGUGGCGGGUGACCACCCAAGAUGGGAGAUGGACAUAACAAGACCUAUAGGAUGCUACUCAAUAGCUAAAGGCUGACGAUAUCCAUAUCUGGAGGACAUCGGACGAUAAAUAGUAGGAUGAGUGAGGAUUUCGCUGCCAGCACAGUUUGGUGAAGAGUAGAAACGGUGACCAAGCAGCAACACGACCAUCAUGCCAACCACCCAGGGAACCGGAGGGGCUGGCAGCCCACGGGUUCAGCGCUACCGUCCGGCCUCGGAGUUUGACAACGCCACCCUCGCCCAGAAGAGAGAGUACUGGAGGACUAAGAAACGAGAGCAGAGGGCUAAGUUGUCAGAGGUCAAGAAGGAGAGGUCAAAAGCAACAAACAGAGGAAGUAAAUCCUUGGACAGUAAUGCAGUCCAUAAAACCAUAACCUCAAUGGGGUUGAAUUCUGGUGCCUCUUGUUCAAUAGCAGGGUCUGCCCCCCCUUUGUUGAAUAGUGAUGGUUCCUACCAAACUUAUGUCGGCGGUGCACCUGUAGUCCUAUUGAAGGGAAAGGGCUCUGCUGUCUCCUAUAAUCAGAACCAUAGUGUUGGGGAAGGGGGCCAAAACUAUUACUCAGCAAACCAAAAGGAGAGUUGGUUCCAGAGGAUAAAACUCAACAAAGUCUUGCCUCAGUUCCCAACGUCCAGUGCAGGCCCAGGAAAAGGUGCAAUGGUCUGCAAGAUGGCAGUGAAAAGUUAUCCAACAGGGGGCGCUGUGAUUGGAACAGUUACCUCAGCCAAACCCAAUGGAGUGCUUCUCAACAGUGGCUCCUUUGUGCCUCCGGUAAGAGUGGCGGUGAGAGCCUCAGGCUCUGCACCUCGCCAACCACAGAGCGGAAUGACUAUUCUCAAUGGCAGCUCUCCUGUAGUGUCAUCUGAGCAGCAUCUGACCACCCAGAGUGUAUCAAGGCCUGAUGCAAUGACAAAGACGCAAGUUACAGUGUCUGUUCAGCCUAGAUCGCUAACCACUAACAUUACCACAGGGAUGGCCAUCGUGACCACUCAAUCUGCCCCUAUGCUCGUUCACAAACCAGGGGUUAGGCCUAGAGGGAUGAAAGUAACACCGCUAGGCGGGAAAAAGAGUGCAGUGGUCGCGGCCCAAGAAGUUAGAAGCAUCAACGACACAUCAGCUACACUGGAGACUGAGGAGGAGCGAGCCGCCAAGCGCAGAGAGAAUUGGCGCAUCAAGAAAAGAGAACAGCGAGCGAAGCAAGCGGCUAGGUUAAGCAAGGUCAGCAAAAGAAUCACUAACAUGGAGGUAUCGUUGCAGAAAGUAGAACUGUUACCAAACGUGGACGCUGAACGUCCCCAGUCCGCUUUGAGUGGACAGGGCCAGAGGCAGUGUGUUAGUAGGGUCAGUGCCCCGUUCAUCUCAGCCGGACGGCUGCUGAAGAACGCCAGAGCAGUGGCUAGCUUUGCUGUCAAAAGGGAGUCUGACGAUUCAAUCCUGGCUAAGCUAACCACAGUCGACGUUAAUGAACAAACCGUUCAGCUAAGAGCAGAGAAUCUGCAGGAGGCUAAAGCAACAAUGCAGACUGGUAUCACAUCUAAUAUCAUUGGUUAUAAACCAGCAGGGGAACCAAGCAGAAGGCUCCCUGGUCCAGUGCAGUUUGCCAACGUUAACCGAGUUAUGGUCCGUUGUAGGACUCCGAGACAGAGGUUCAUUGAAACCCAAAGGAAUUUCCUGGGUCAGAGAAAGAUGAGGAAGUCCCCCUAUCAUGCCAAAGCCUUAACAACCUACAACGCACCACGAGAUGACUCAAAGGAGACCCCCGAGCAGAGGGCGGCCCAGAUGCGGGAAUACUGGCGCGUCAAGAAGCGGGAGCAGCGAGCUAAGCUUUCUGGCGAAGUCCGAGCUAAGAUGAAGGAGAGGGAUGCUCUGAUGCAAAGAGUCAAGCGUUACCAGAGCAUCCUGGAGGAUAUGAGGAAGGACAGAGCAGCGGGCUGCAACACGCUGCCACAACCAACAGAAAAUAGGCCUACUCACACCAGCGCCUCAGAGAUCAUUGGAGGUUUCAUCAUGGAGGAUGGCACAGUGACCAAUAACAUUCCUCAAAUUGAUCUCACUACAGAAGCAAAAGAGACUGGGGAUGAAAUUGGUAACAGUAGUGGGAUGCCUGUUAAUAAUUUAUUUACCAACACACACCGCCAACACCAACUGCUUCCCAAACCUACUGGUGAUGCCUUUAGUAAUGUGGUGUUAAGUCAUCAAACACAGGACAACCCACCACCUCCUCUAAUCCGUUCUGCUCAGUUUCAAGUCUCUUGCCCUCCCGUCGGCCUGUCGAUCAUGAAUCCUCCCAGGUUGGUUUCAAUCAGACCGAGGACUGAAUUUCGCAGCACACCGAAAAACCUCUUGAAUUUACACACAGUCUUCCAGCCCCAGAGUCAUAUCACCCUCACACACCCUCAAAACAUCCAAAACACCUUUCCUGGUGUGCCUACAGCAAUGCCAAAGCCGGCUAGCUGUGUCAUGCAGAUGGCUGUCAAAGCUUCUACAGCAUCAGCAGUGCUUAACUUGGACCCAAAGCUAACAGAGGAGGAAAGUAUGGCUAAGAAGAGGGAGUACUGGAGGGUAAAGAAACGAGAGCAGAGGGCAGCCCGUGCCAUCCGCCUAAGGCAAGGAGUUCAAGCUCGGGGAAAUGCUGCCUCACAGAAGAGGCGGAACCAAAGGUUAGCACGAUUAGCCAAUCCCAAUGUCAACACCUCUGUCAGCCACACACACACUAUCAAGCCUCUCUCAAACACCAGUCUGCCCAUGCCUCCACAGGGAAACCAAAUUAAAAAAGAAAGAGAAUCAAUCUCAACACAUGCUCCAUGUCCUCCACUGGAACAACCCCUCUGUGUUGAUAUCAAACUGUCCCAGUCUCCACCACAUCCAGAGCCACCAGACCUAGCCUUGAGUGCUGACAGCCAGGCCACCACUCUCCUGGCAGUGGCCUCUAUGAAGAAGCUGCUGGAGGAAUCUCUCAGCACUGUGGCUGACUGUAAAACGGAACAGCCUGACUGUAUUACAGAACAGCUGCUUUGUAAAAGUGAACCCCAGGCUUGUUCCUCCGAGGAGAAUGCCAUCCAGAUUGAGGUCAAGCCAAAUCUACCUCUGCUCACCCUGGGAGACGAGGAGAAAGCCUCCAUAUCUGGUGACCUAUUGUUGGAGGUCAAAGGGUGGCAGGUGGAUGCUGACGCCCCGCCACCAUGUCAGGUGACCAUUCGUCCACUGAGUCCUCAUCCUAAGGACUCUCCCCUAUCCAGUCCUUGUGCUAACACACUCUCUUUCUCAGCUUCCCCUCUCAAUCGGUCCGAACCCCCCUCUCACACACCCACACAAUCUUGCUCCCACAAGGCAGCUUCCGGAGAACCACCCCUCCCUGUCCCUCGUAGAGCCCAGAGGUUGCGUGCCAAAAAAGCAGGCCACCACCACUGCUGCUCCCCAGAACCUCCAAAGCUACAUCACCAGCCACCACAACAACAACCACCUUGCCAACUUCAAAAUCAACACCAGCGUCAACAACAUCAAAAACACCCCCAACAACAGCAGCAGCGUCAGCAACAUCACCACGCCCCGGCGGUGACAGACCAGAAUGUGACUCUGCAGAAGAAGAGGGAGUACUGGAGGAUGAUGAAGAGGCAGCAGAGAGCCAGGAAGGCUCGGCAGGGAGGAGGGGGGCUGAGGCAGGGGGACUACAGCAGACGACUAGCCCUCAAAGCAGCACAGGCUCCGAAUCUCCAUAUUGUCAAGACUCCGACACAGAGGCCAGUGCAGAGAGGCGGGAGCUUCAGUCUACAAGCCGCACCAUUGCUCAAACCCCAGCCCUCCCCCCUUCUCCAGCCUAUAUCUCCCCCUGACUCUGGACCUCAGGCAAGCCUCAGCAUGGUCACCAACAUCCCUACACUUCUGGUUGUGAGCCCCACCACCUCCAACAUGGGACAGCCAUCUGAUACACUACAGCUCAGACCUCCGGUCAACUGUACCAGUAUUUCCAAUUCAUCCAUUGGCCACCCAGGGUCCCCCCAGACAUCUAACAGCUUCAGUACCGCAUUUCUCCCUGUAGGAGGCGGUGUCACUGUCCCUCCAUUGGGUGAGGGGAAGAAAGGCGGGCUGCUAUUGGUGGAGAGCCAACAGGAAGCGGCCCCGGGGUCCAGCCCUGACUCGCCACGUGUUAGAAAAUGGCGAUUGCAAGUGCAGGAAAUCUCAGACGCAGACGCCUCACCCAUCGCUACUCUCACACCUCCGCCCAACCCUCUGACUAGCAUCAAGCUCUUACCAAUUCAUCCUCCCAGUCAAACGUCCACAUUCACACCAACACAGACUCCUUUCAAAUGUCAAGGUGCUCAGAUUCCUCAAAGUGGGAAUUUACAAAAUGUAGGAUUGCCUACAAUGCAGGGGCUGACCAGAAGCCCCAUCUACAUAAGCUCCAUGGGUCCACCCAAGCCAGUGCCGGGGGAGUCUGAAGAGGAGACUCUGAGGAAGAAGAGGGAGUACUGGAGAGUGAAGAAGAAGGAACAGAGAGCUAGGAAGGCCAUGAGGGACAGGGAGCUGACUGAGAAGAGGGCUUCGGUCAACUGGAGGCCCAUCCUCCCCAGCAGUCAGCCUCAACACCUGCUCCAGGGGCUGGAUACACAGUUAAUUUCCAUUAGGUCUGACCGUCAUUUUUCUCAACCAAAGGAACAGGAUCCUGACCAGUGGGUCAACACCUCGGAGGGCUCUGAACUACAUCUAAGUACUUCCACAGAGACAGACAUGGGCUACUUUCCUGACCAAAGCCAUACGGAACCUACAGAAGAGGAAUCAGAGCUCCUUUUCCCAGACGGUGAUCAUAACGACAACUACAACGGCCCUAUCUCAGAUGCUGUAUGGAGGAACUGCUACCUCAUGGACUACGACCCCCUGAACCAGCUGCUGGUGUGCAUGGUGUGCGGGGAGCUCCAGUACUCCCACAGCCUGGAGGGGGUGAGGGCCCACAUCGAGGAGGCCCACCCGGACACCCUGAGCCUGGUGCCCCCGGAGCGCCGGCACAUCCUGGAGGCCUGGGACGAGCAGGUGUCCAGGAGAGAACUUUUCUUCACCAGCCAGCUGCAGCAGCACAGCGGUGGGAUGGGAGGGGACAGUGCCAACCUCCCAGCAGAAGUAGAAGUAAUGGUUGAUACAGAGGACUCGUCAUACCUGAAGAACAGCAAGAGCUCCAAAACCACCAACAGACUCUGAGAGCUAAGAAGAAGCACAAAUCACUAAAUGCCAGACAGCGUAAAACAACAUUGUUCAGAAGUGGAGGAGGAAAAGAAAAACGUUACUGCUGGUUUCUUUUAAUGUCUGUUUAUUUUUUUUUUGAGCAGUUCACCUCUACAAAAGAUAAACUAAACUUGAACUGCAUACAUAGGUGACAUUGAACCACAAGAGACGAGCUUUACCUCAUUAACUUUGGGAUACACACAAACACACAUUCGCUGUUUUUGAAAGCGCAGUUUUGUAGCGAUUGUCAUUCUCUACUACUAAACCAAGUCUCCUAUGCCCGAAGCAAACAGUUCAUAUUUAUGUCGGCACUGGGUUCAAUAAUGUCAUUGUGCUUUAUGAAACACACUUAAGCAGACAGGAGGGCUCUCCUCGUCAACUGAAUGGGUUAACAUCCCUGUUUUAAUGCAUCCAUGACGAACAGGUCAGUUAUCAUCUUCAAUCUGAAUGAAUGACAUGUCCUUGGUCUGACUCAAUGUAUCAGAUAUGAUAUGAUGCAGGUUAAGGGCAAAUUGCAGACGUGUAAAUUUGACUCGAGACCAUGCGUCAUUUGAAAUUGUCUACGGGUGAUCAGCUGUUUGAUAUUCGUCUGUACACACAGUACCAGUCAAAGGUUUGGACACACCUACUCAUUCCAGGGUUUUUCUUUGUUUGUACUAUUUUCUACAUUGUAUAAUAAUAGUGAAGACAUCAAAACUACGAAAUAACACACAUGGAAUCAUGUAGUAAAUAUAAAAAGGAUUUAACAAAUCAAAAUAGAUUUUCGAUUUUCGAUUCUUCAAAGUAGCCAACAUUUGCCUUUGCACACUGUUGGCAUUCUCUCAACCAGCUUCAUGAGCACUUGCUGAGCACUUGUUGGCUGCUUUUCCUUCACUCUGCGGUCCUACUCAUCCCAAACCAUCUCAGUUGGGUUGAGGUCUGGUGAUUGUGGAGGCCAGGUCAUCUGCUGUAGCACUCUUCUUCUUGGUCAAAUAGCCCUUACACACUGGAGGUGUGUCGGGUCAUUGUCCUGUUGAAAAAUAAAUGAUAGUCCCACUAAGCGCAAACCAGAUGGGACGGCGUAUCGUUGCAGAAUGCUGUGGUAGCCAUGCUGGUUAAGUGUGCCUUGAAUUCUAAAUAAAUCACAGACAGACCCACACACCAUCACACCUCCAUGCUUUACGGUGGGAACCACACACUCGGAGAUCAUCUGUUACACUACUCUGCGUCUCACAAAAACACAGUGGUUGGAACCAAAAAUCUAAAAAUUUGACUCAUCAGACCAAACGACAGAUUACCAACGGUCUAAUGUCCAUUGCUCUGUUUCUUGGCCCAAGCAAGUCUCUUCUUCUUAUUGGUGUCCUGUAGUAGUGGUUUCUUUGCAGCAAUUCGACCACGAAGACCUGAUUCACGCAGUCUCCUCUGAACAGUUGAUGUUGAGAUGUGUCUGUUACUUGAACUCUGUGAAGCAUUUAUUUGGGCUGCCAUUUCUGAGGCUAGUAACUCUAAUGAACUUAUCCUCUGCAGCAGUGGUAACUCUGGGUCUUCCUUUCCUGUGGCGGUCCUCAUGAGAGGCAGUUUCAUCGUAGCGCUUGGUGGUUUUUGUGACUGCACUUGAAGAAACUUUCAAACUUCUUGAAAUGUUCGAUUGACUGACCUUCAUGUCUUAAAGUAAGGAUGGCUGUUCUUGCCAUAAUUUGGACUUGGUCUUUUACCAAAUAUGUCUAUCUUCUGUAUACCACCCCUACCUUGUCACAACACAACUGAUUGGCUCAAACGCAUUAAGCAAAGAAAUUCCACAAAUUAACUUUUAACAAGGCACACCUGUUAAUUGAAAUCCAUUCCAGGUGACUACCUCAUGAAGCUGGUGGAGAGAAUGCCAACAGUGUGCUAAGCUGUCAUCAAGACACAGGGUGGCUACUUUUAAGAAUAUAAAAUAUAUUUUGAUUUGUUUAACACCUUUUUGGCUACUACAUGAUUCCGUAUAUGUUUUUUCAUAGUUUUGACGUAUUCACUAUUGUUCUACAAUGUAGAAAAUAGUAAAAAAUAAAGAAAAACCCUGGAAUGAGUAGGCGUAUCCAAGCUUUUGACAUUUUAUAAUUUCAUUUUAUAUUUUUUCACAAUUUCUAUCAGUUUUGUUAUUCAGAUCCAAGGGAUGUCCUUGCAUGGGGUUAUUUUAAAUAUUCCGUAAAAAGUUGAUUUUUUUUCGGUCCCACUUUAAAACGGAGAGCAACUUAUAAAGCAGGGUCCUCCAACUGGCGUCACGCCAGUUUGGUUUUAUUUGCCCCCCCCAAGUUCUCUGAGCCAAAAAAUAAGACUGUAAACACCAGCAAAUCAGCUCUGAGAUUUAAAUUUUGGAGAUCUGUUCCAAACUAUUUCCAAGCAGAAGAGAGAUGCGAUCGCAUACAAAUGCGAACAAGGUUCAAGUCAUCUGUAAGCGUAUGUGAUACUCUAUGAAUGGUGUACAAACAGUGCAUGUCGUCACAUUUGGCAAUUUACCCUACAGUGGGAAUUGUCACCCUUUGGAGAGUAUGACAUACGCUUAUUGAUGAUUUGUGAAGCAUUUAUUUAGUGCUUAUGAAGCCUUUGUGCAUGCUAUACAGGUUGCACUUUGUUCAAAGUGGGACCGAUUUUUCUAGAUAUUAAUGCACCAUACUUUACAACACUGAAUCUUCAAAAUACUUUUUUUUAAAACUGUUUUCGUAUAACGUUUUUCUGAAAUGUAAAAGAAUUCUUCCUUUAAGAACAUUUAAGUUUUUGUAAUGGUGAUUUGACACAUGUAUGCCUGCACUGUAAAUACAACAUUUAUGUUUAAAGGGGUGGUUAAAUGUCAAUACCCUUAAUGUAUUAUUUGAUUUCCUAUGAAAAUAAACCUAACCCUUUAUGGUUAGUGGUACUCAUACUGCUUCUGAUUUUGUUAAUAUUUCCUUGUCUCUAUACAUACUGUGUACAUUUAACUCUUUCAAUGUAUUUAUUUGGUCUGAACAAUCAGUCAAUGACACAUGACUAUUUCAUUCGUAUUUAAUAUCUUUGAUUAAACGAUCAACAAAUGAGCUUUUUUUUUUCCCCCCCAGUCAAAAUUACAAUCCAAUGGCCUGCUGCUUGGAUGUGGAGUGUUGGACAUAUAUAUACGUAUAGGAAGUAUCAGAAAUCAUGUGGAAGAGAUUUUCAUUUGCAGUGUUUUUGGUUCACCAAUAUGCUGAAAAUAAUGUCCAAGAGCACAGUCUGAAAAUGCAUUGAAAACAGAAAGUACUGUUUUAUUUUUUUCUUGUACAGCU
ensembl:lncRNA